GGAACUUACCAUGCAGUCGACGGUGAAGCCCAGCUUGCUGGGUGGAUCAGUGGCGAACGGGUGAGUAACACGUGAGCAACCUGCCCUGGACUCUGGGAUAAGCGCUGGAAACGGCGUCUAAUACUGGAUAUGAGCUCUCAUCGCAUGGUGGGGGUUGGAAAGAUUUUUCGGUCUGGGAUGGGCUCGCGGCCUAUCAGCUUGUUGGUGAGGUAAUGGCUCACCAAGGCGUCGACGGGUAGCCGGCCUGAGAGGGUGACCGGCCACACUGGGACUGAGACACGGCCCAGACUCCUACGGGAGGCAGCAGUGGGGAAUAUUGCACAAUGGGCGGAAGCCUGAUGCAGCAACGCCGCGUGAGGGAUGACGGCCUUCGGGUUGUAAACCUCUUUUAGCAAGGAAGAAGCGUGAGUGACGGUACUUGCAGAAAAAGCGCCGGCUAACUACGUGCCAGCAGCCGCGGUAAUACGUAGGGCGCAAGCGUUAUCCGGAAUUAUUGGGCGUAAAGAGCUCGUAGGCGGUUUGUCGCGUCUGCUGUGAAAUCCCGAGGCUCAACCUCGGGCCUGCAGUGGGUACGGGCAGACUAGAGUGCGGUAGGGGAGAUUGGAAUUCCUGGUGUAGCGGUGGAAUGCGCAGAUAUCAGGAGGAACACCGAUGGCGAAAGGCAGAUCUCUGGGCCGUAACUGACGCUGAGGAGCGAAAGGGUGGGGAGCAAACAGGCUUAGAUACCCUGGUAGUCCACCCCGUAAACGUUGGGAACUAGUUGUGGGGUCCUUUCCACGGAUUCCGUGACGCAGCUAACGCAUUAAGUUCCCCGCCUGGGGAGUACGGCCGCAAGGCUAAAACCUCAAAGGAAUGACCGGGACCCGCACAAGCGGCGGAGCAUGGCGGAUAAUUCGAUGCACGCGAAGAACCUUACCAACUUGACAUAAACGAAAACAUCCUA
rnacentral:rRNA from 1 species